GAAGCCGGAAUUGCUAGUAAUGGCAGGUCAGCAUACUGCCGUGAAUACGUUCCCGGGCCUUGUACACACCGCCCGUCACACCAUGAGAGUUGGGGAUACCCGAAGCCUGUGAGCUAACUUUAGGGAGGCAGCAGUCGAAGGUAGAAUCAAUGAUUGGGGUGAAGUCGUAACAAGGUAUC
rnacentral:rRNA from 1 species